UACGUAGGUGGCGAGCGUUGUCCGGAAUCAUUGGGCGUAAAGAGCGCGUAGGUGGCUUGUUAGGUCUGGUGUGAAAUCUUGGGGCUCAACCCCAAGCGUGCACUGGAAACCGGCUUGCUAGAGUCUGGGAGAGGAGAGUGGAAUUCCUGGUGUAGCGGUGAAAUGCGUAGAUAUCAGGAGGAACACCGGUAGCGAAGGCGGCUCUCUGGAACAGUACUGACGCUGAGGCGCGAAAGCUAGGGGAGCGAACAGG
rnacentral:rRNA from 1 species